rnacentral:siRNA from 1 species
AAUUAUUCAGGAAGGUCACCUAUC